UUUUGAUCUUGCGACGCCGUACCUUCGCGAUGCCCAGCUUCCUUUAUAAAGCAGAGCAUUGUUUUUUCAUAACCAUCGUCCGACUGAGUAUGAAUCUGCUGCCCACUCCCACUCGCCUCUGGAAUAAUUUUGUUCUGCAUUUUUGGUAGGCAGAUGAUGGAUAAAGUAUAAUACAGCAAUUAAUGAUUCAACUACCUGAUCAGGGUUAAUUUUCUUUUCUCUUCAUUUUUAUACAGCUAGCUCGAGAGAAGCUGCUUCGUCGCAACCACUGGGUAUCCAAAUAGUUCACUAAUUAAUUAAUAAUGGUGUUAUUUAUUAUUCACGUGUUUGUCGAUCUCGUUUACUAUUUGUUUAUCUAUCUAUCAAGCUAAGCAUAACG
rnacentral:lncRNA from 1 species